GAUGAACGCUGGCGGCGUGCCUAAUACAUGCCAGUCGAGCGAACGGACGAGAAGCUUGCUUCUCUGAUGUUAGCGGCGGACGGGUGAGUAACACGUGGAUAACCUACCUAUAAGACUGGGAUAACUUCGGGAAACCGGAGCUAAUACCGGAUAAUAUUUUGAACCGCAUGGUUCAAAAGUGAAAGACGGUCUUGCUGUCACUUAUAGAUGGAUCCGCGCUGCAUUAGCUAGUUGGUAAGGUAACGGCUUACCAAGGCAACGAUGCAUAGCCGACCUGAGAUGGUGAUCGGCCACACUGGAACUGAGACACGGUCCAGACUCCUACGGGAGGCAGCAGUAGGGAAUCUUCCGCAAUGGGCGAAAGCCUGACGGAGCAACGCCGCGUGAGUGAUGAAGGUCUUCGGAUCGUAAAACUCUGUUAUUAGGGAAGAACAUAUGUGUAAGUAACUGUGCACAUCUUGACGGUACCUAAUCAGAAAGCCACGGCUAACUACGUG
rnacentral:rRNA from 1 species